UGGGGAAUAUUGCACAAUGGGCGCAAGCCUGAUGCAGCCAUGCCGCGUGUGUGAAGAAGGCCUUCGGGUUGUAAAGCACUUUCAGCGAGGAGGAAGGUGGUGAGCUUAAUACGCUCAUCAAUUGACGUUACUCGCAGAAGAAGCACCGGCUAACUCCGUGCCAGCAGCCGCGGUAAUACGGAGGGUGCAAGCGUUAAUCGGAAUUACUGGGCGUAAAGCGCACGCAGGCGGUUUGUUAAGUCAGAUGUGAAAUCCCCGGGCUCAACCUGGGAACUGCAUUUGAAAACUGGCAAGCUAGAGUCUCGUAGAGGGGGGUAGAAUUCCAGGUGUAGCGGUGAAAUGCGUAGAGAUCUGGAGGAAUACCGGUGGCGAAGGCGGCCCCCUGGACGAAGACUGACGCUCAGGUGCGAAAGCGUGGGGCAGCAAACAGGAUUAGAUACCCUGGUAGUCCACGCUGUAAACGAUGUCGAUUUUGGAGGUUGUGCCCUUGAGGCGUGGCUUCCGGAGCUAACGCGUUAAAUCGACCGCCUGGGGAGUACGGCCGCAAGG
rnacentral:rRNA from 1 species